rnacentral:misc_RNA from 1 species
AAAAGAACGCACUACCAUCGAUGUACUGCAGCACACAUGGAACUCUGCCUGUUGAAUCUGCGAAAGCUGUGCAGACAGAGACCACAGGGUGUUUCAGUGGCAAAGUGGAUGUUGCAGUUGGGACAACGAUUGUUGACUGGGGUGUGUGCCAGUCAACGCAGACAUUGCCUGCUGCCGAGAAGGUGCACAGAUGGGCAGAUACCACAGACCUUGAUGUCCACGACAGUGGCCCUCGUGUGCGAAAGAUUUCAGGUUGUAAAGGAGUGUCCUGGUGAUUACAAUGGGCACAGGUCAUUGCCUGCUGGACCCACCACGGUCGUGCAAGGGGACGCUGCUACGCGGUGCGACCGGAGAGCAGACGUUAAUAUUUAUUCCACGUGGUGCAAGGGGCAUCUCCAAAGUGACAGAGGCAUUGUUAUACACUCCGAAGGGCUUCUCCGUAGGAGUGCAAUCUUAAGAUCUCGAUGAUUGUUGCAAUGUCCCUUUGCUUCUGUAGGUCGACGGUGCCAAUCGAAGGUACCCCCUUACACAUAUUGAUAUUA